GGACUGACACACUCUGAGUUUUAAACUCAUCAUCUGGCUGCUGUCUAUGAAUAAAGUAGGCAUUGUAUAAGAAAUCCUAGACUAGUUAAUGAGGGACAGAGGUGAUAUGGCUUGGCCCAGAGUGAUAAAAUUGGAAAUAGUGAAGUGCAGUCAAAUCCUUGACAUAUUAUGGCAGUGCUGCUGACAGAAUUUGCUCCAAGGGACUGGGUGUGACAUUUGAAGAAAAGACGAAAAUCACAGAUGUGUUCAAGGAUUUUGAUGAUUGUUGAUAAGUGGAAUGACUGUAAGAGUGAUGAUGUUAUUUACUGAGAUGUCAAAGGCUAUAUAAGAGACCUUUGGUAAAAGACCUCAGAUUCUGGAGAAUCUAUACAUUCUGAAAUCGCCUUUGGAUAUUCUGUUUUCUCUCUAAGGUCAAGAGUCAAACAGACCACUUGGGACCCCUGCUCUGUGCCAUGCACUUUAGAGAGCCCUUCCUCAAAUGUGUUCCUCCUUAAAUGGCAAAGUUUCCAUGGAAACAAGAGGACCUGGGAGCACAUUUUCUAUCCAGGAGAUCAAUACUCCUGUGCUCUGGGGAGCUGGUGCUGAGCUUGCUGCGUGGCCACAUUCCCAUUAGUGUUGAUGGUAAUUACGCCUUCAGAACAAAGCCUGCCACGUGGAGCCCCUGCUGAGGAAUUACUUUAAUGACUUUGAACUUUAGGAAAUAAACGUAAUGAAGCUACACAGGAUGAGGACUCACUCUUUCACUCCUGUAGCCUCCUUAACU
rnacentral:lncRNA from 1 species